GAGUUUUUUGUCAAAGAUAAAGCGAGCAAUAUGAGGAAUUUUUGCCCGUUUGAAACUCCACGAGAAGUAUUUUUUUAAAAGAGUCUGACCGAAUAUUGCUUCAGAGCUUGCUUACAUAUCUUUGGCUAUAAAGGAAUCAGGUCAGUGUAGUUUUGGAAGUUUUGAUAGCUGGAACUACCGAGAAGCUGUAAUUUCACUGUUGUUGCUGUUGUUUCUGCUUACUGAGCUCCUUAUUAUACUAGAAGAAUAAAUAAGAAGCUACGCUAGCUAAGCCUAAAAACUACAAGUUACAAGAUUCAUAUCUAUAAAUCUCUUGAAGCUUGAUAUUGAGUCUUAGCUGAUUCUUGCUGUGGACUCCAAUCUGGAUCUUGAUGCUCGUUAGCUGCAACCGUUGAUUUAUUCUUCAGCCUUUGGAACAAGGCAGGGCAUCCGAAGCUUGUGACUUCAAUCAAGUUUUGAGCCGUCUGCAUCCUUCUCCACUUCAGCACUUUGAGUUCACUUCUUGUCUUUCUUUUUGUAUUUUUUUAUUAAGGAUUGUGACUAACUUCUGUUGAUCAUCUCGGACUGCUGACUCGCAUUCCUUACGUGAGCUUCUUUACUUCUAACUUGGAUUAAACUCUGAAAUGACUUCCCUUGUUCUUCAAGUAGGUGCCUGAUUGCUAAACUUGAACUGACUUCCUUUGAAACUUGAACUGUUUUCCCUUGAAACUCGAACUGUUUUCUCUUAAAACUUGAAUUGUCUUUCCUUGUUCUCCAGGUGGGCGCCUGAUUGCCGAACUUGAAUUAUCUUCUCUUGUUCAUUGACACUGUUUUCCCUUGCACCUUGAAUCAUUUUCCCUUGAAACUUGAAACGUCUUCCUCCAAACUGUUUUCCCUUGAAACUUGAGUUCUCUUCCUUCGAAAUUGCUUUCCCUUGAAACUUGAGUUGUCCUCCUUCUAAACUGCUUUCUUUUGAAACUUGAGUUGUCUUCCCUUGUUCUCCAAGUGGGCGCCUGAUUACAAAAAAUAUACAAAACAAAAGAAAUUUCCUGCCCCGGUUUGAUUUGGGGGCAUCUGUGUGUGCUAACAAAACUAUAAAUCACUUACGUUGUUGAUGGAGGAUGCAAUGAUGAGAGUAAAAUUAUGACUCGACUAGGAUGUGUGUCUCCUAAAAGUGAUUGAACUUUCGAAAAACUAUAAACUAAGCUUGACUAAAGUGAAAACUGACCCUAUUCUCCAGGCGGAAACCCUGAUUUCAAGAAAACUAAAAAUUGACACUUUUUUUCAAGUCCAGGCUUCCCUUUUUUCUUUCAAAUUCAAACUUCCACUUUUUUAGACUACUUCCUUUUUUUAAAAAAAUUAUUAUCCUAGGAGAAAAUUCGUCAGACCAAGUUUUCUAUCUUGGGAGAAAGAUAAUAAGAUUAAGACACUUAUCCUAGGAGAAAAUUCAUCAUACUAGAUUCUUGUUCUUUCUUUUCUUUUUUGUUUUUAUUUUUAGGUAUCUUAAAGAAAGAUUCAUACGACUAAGACGUUUAUCAUAGGAGAAAAUUCAUCAGAUUAGGUUUUCUAUCUUAGAAGAAAGAUUCAUCAGACUAAGAUUUUGAUCCUAGGAGAAAUUUCAUCCGAGUGGGUCCUCUUUUCUUGGGAAAAAAAUUCAUCAGACUAAGAUUUUGAUCCUAAGAGAAAAUUCAUCAAACUAGGUCCUCUUUUCUUAGGAGAAAAAUUCAUCAGACUAAGAUUUUGAUCCUAGGUGAAAGUUCAUCAGACUAGGUCUUCUAUCUUAGUAGAAAGAUUCAUCAGACUAAAAUAUUUAUCCCGGGAGAAAAUUCAUCAAACUAGGUCCUUUUUCUCUUUUUUUUUUGUUUUUAUUUUUGGGUAUCUUAGGAGAAAGAUUCAUCCGGCUAAGACGUUUAUCCUAGGAGAAAAUUCAUCGGACUAGGUCUUCUAUGUUAUGAGAAAAAUUCAAUAGGCUAAUGUUUUUAUCCUAGGAGAA
rnacentral:lncRNA from 1 species